rnacentral:misc_RNA from 1 species
CGCAUAUUUAGAUUAUUAAUGAUAUCACUGUUUUGACCCUAUUAAAAAGUCAGGUGGUAUUGGGAUAAACACUCAAUUAUUUAGCUACAGGCCAUUAUAUUAGACUCCACGAUAUUGAGUUUUUAAUUAGUUUUUGGAUGGAGUGUUUGUGACUUUUAAACUUUUAAAAAAGUAGGAAAAAAAAAAAAAGAAAGAAAAACUUAUUGAUUGCGCCGAAUGGUUUUCGCUAUCAGCUUUUUAUGCGACCUUCUGUAGAGGGCUGCCUAGAUUGGGUAAGGCAACAGGGCAUGGGAUAAGGAUAACUUGGAUAAGGGAGCAAGUUGGUCCCCACUCUUUUUGCCUUAUGUUUGUAAAUAAUGGAUUACCAGUCUUUUGGGCUGACGAGUUGUGUCGUUAAGAAAACUUAUUUAUAGCAAUUUGAUACGUAUAAUGAAUUUUGUGAUAGUUAAACGUCAAAUUUUUUUUCCCC